UCUCCCUGGAGUCCCUCCUCUCACAAUCCUCUGGAGCUCUGAGAUCAAGUCUUCUGUCCUUGUUUGGGCAUCUGCAGACAUCUCCUGGGGCAGGGCUGUCUCACUCAUGGGAGGUCCCGGAAUCCAGCGCUGCCCAUGGGCAGGAGAACAGGGGAGCUGCCAAGUUUGAAGCAGAGAUCGGGGUUGAAGCCACGCUAUGUGUGCCCUGGACCAGUUGACGCACCCACAUCCGCCGGAAGUCUGCUGUGUGGGAGC
rnacentral:lncRNA from 1 species